rnacentral:rRNA from 1 species
AUGAACGCUGGCGGCGUGCCUAAUACAUGCAAGUCGAGCGAACGGACGAGAAGCUUGCUUCUCUGAUGUUAGCGGCGGCCGGGUGAGUAACACGUGGAUAACCUACCUAUAAGACUGGGAUAACUUCGGGAAACCGGAGCUAAUACCGGAUAAUAUUUUGAACCGCAUGGUUCAAAAGUGAAAGACGGUCUUGCUGUCACUUAUAGAUGGAUCCGCGCUGCAUUAGCUAGUUGGUAAGGUAACGGCUUACCAAGGCAACGAUGCAUAGCCGACCUGAGAGGGUGAUCGGCCACACUGGAACUGAGACACGGUCCAGACUCCUACGGGAGGCAGCAGUAGGGAAUCUUCCGCAAUGGGCGAAAGCCUGACGGAGCAACGCCGCGUGAGUGAUGAAGGUCUUCGGAUCGUAAAACUCUGUUAUUAGGGAAGAACAUAUGUGUAAGUAACUGUGCACAUCUUGACGAUACCUAAUCAGAAAGCCACGGCUAACUACGUG